ACGGCUCAGUAACACGUAGCUAACCUGCCCUUAGGACGGGGACAACCCCGAGAAAUUGGGGCUAAUCCCCGAUAGGUGUGAUGUCCUGGAAUGGUAUCACGCCCAAAGGUCCCGACAGCAUGUCGUUGUUACGCCUAAGGAUGGGGCUGCGGCCAAUCAGGCAGUUGGUGAGGUAAUGGCUCACCAAACCUUUGACCGGUACGGGCCAUGAGAGUGGUAGCCCGGAGAUGGACACUGAGACAAGGGUCCAGGCCCUACGGGGCGCAGCAGGCGCGAAACCUCCUCAAUGCACUCACGUGCGAAGGGGUUACCUCGAGUGCCAUCUGAAGAAGGUGGCUUUUCUUAGGUCUAAAUAGCCUUGGGAAUAAGAGGGGGGCAAGACUGGUGUCAGCCGCCGCGGUAACACCAGCCCCUCGAGUGGUGGGGAUGAUUAUUUGGCCUAAAGCGUCCGUAGCCGGCCGGGUAAGUUUCCCGUUAAAUCCAGCGUCUCAAGCGUUGGACUGCGGGAAAUACUGCCCGGCUAGAGAGUGGAAGAGGUAAGCGGUAUUCUGGGGGUAGGGGCGAAAUCCUUUGAUCCCCGGAGGACCACCAGUGGCGAAGGCUGCUUACUAGAACACGUCUGACGGUCAGGGACGAAAGCUGGGGUAGCGAACCGGAUUAGAUACCCGGGUAGUCCCAGCUGUAAACGAUGCACGCUAGGUGUUGGGUCGGCCACGUGCCGCCCCAGUGCCGCAGGGAAGCCGUUAAGCGUGCCGCCUGGGGAGUACGGCCGCAAGGCUGAAACUUAAAGGAAUUGGCGGGGGAGCAC
rnacentral:rRNA from 1 species